AUUGAACGCUGGCGGCAGGCCUAACACAUGCAAGUCGAGCGGAUGAGAGGAGCUUGCUUCUCGAUUCAGCGGCGGACGGGUGAGUAAUGCCUAGGAAUCCGCCUGGUAGUGGGGGACAACGUUUCGAAAGGAACGCUAAUACCGCAUACGUCCUACGGGAGAAAGCAGGGGACCAUCGGGCCUCGCGCUAUCAGAUGAGCCUGGGUCGGAUUAGCUAGUUGGUGAGGUAAUGGCUCACGAAGGCGACGAUCCGUAACUGGUCUGAGAGGAUGAUCAGUCACACUGGAACUGAGACACGGUCCAGACUCCUACGGGAGGCAGCAGUGGGGAAUAUUGGACAAUGGGCGAAAGCCUGAUCCAGCCAUGCCGCGUGUGUGAAGAAGGUCUUCGGAUUGUAAAGCACUUUAAGUUGGGAGGAAGGGUUAUAGAUUAAUACUCUGCAAUUUUGACGUUACCGACAGAAUAAGCACCGGCUAACUCUGUGCCAGCAGCCGCGGUAACAC
rnacentral:rRNA from 1 species